rnacentral:misc_RNA from 1 species
GCAAACUUGGUCAUUUAGAGGAAGUAAAAGUCGUAACAAGGUUUCCGUAGGUGAACCUGCGGAAGGAUCAUUAUUGAAUAUUCUCGAUGGGUUGUAGCUGGCUCCUUGGAGCAUGUGCACGCCUGUCUUGAUUUUAUUCAUCCACCUGUGCACUUUUUGUAGUCUUGGAGAGAGUGAUCAACUGUCGGAUGAUUAUUCCGGAUGUGAGAAUUGCUGAGUGUGAAAGCAUUCAGCUUUUCCCAGAUCGAUUUCUCACUUCAAGUGCUAUGUCUUCAUAUACCACAUAGUAUGUUGUAGAAUGUAAUCAAUGGGCUUUUGCCUAUAAUAAUCAUAUACAACUUUCAGCAACGGAUCUCUUGGCUCUCGCAUCGAUGAAGAACGCAGC